AGAGGGUACAAUUUUUUUUUUUAAAACAAUAUAUAUACAAAAGUAAAAAUAUUUAAUAAAAAAUUUAAAAUUGAAAUUAUGAAAAUAUUAAAAUAUAUCUAUUAUAUUUUAAUUAAUAUUAUAAAAUUUUAUAAUAAAGACAAUUUCAAUAAAUUUUCAAAAAUUAAAAUUAUAACUUUCUAAAUAUAUAUUUUUAUAUUUAUUAUAAUUUCAUGAUUUUUGAUAUUUUUAUAAUUAUAUUAAAUGUAAAUAUUGCUAAUUUAUUAUUUGACUGCUACUGCAUUAGGUAGUUAACCAGUCAUAACUCACCCGCAAACGCACCAAUUUUUAACUGCAGUACCAGUCGUACAAAU
rnacentral:lncRNA from 1 species